CAGCCGCCGCGGGAAUACGGAGGGUGCAAGCGUUAAUCGGAAUUACUGGGCGUAAAGCGUGCGUAGGCGGUUCGUUAAGUCUGUUGUGAAAGCCCCGGGCUCAACCUGGGAAUGGCAAUGGAUACUGGCGAGCUAGAGUGUGUCAGAGGAUGGUGGAAUUCCCGGUGUAGCAGUGAAAUGCGUAGAGAUCGGGAGGAACAUCAGUGGCGAAGGCGGCCAUCUGGGACAACACUGACGCUGAGGCACGAAAGCGUGGGGAGCAAACAGGAUUAGAUACCCGUGUAGUCCCUGUCUCUUAUAC
rnacentral:rRNA from 1 species